rnacentral:rRNA from 1 species
GCGCACCAGGCGCGAAACCUCCGCAAUACACGAAAGUGUGACGGGGCCAUCCCGAAUGCCGUCCACUGAGGACGGCUUUUCCCCAGUGUACACAGCUGGGGGAAUAAGGAGAGGGCAAGCCUGGUGUCAGCCGCCGCGGUAAUACCAGCUCUCCGAGUGGUGGGGACGCUUAUUGGGCCUAAAGCAUCCGUAGCCGGCUGGGCAAGUCCUCCGUUAAAUCCAACGAUUCAAUCGUUGGGCUGCGGGGGAUACUGUCCAGCUUGGGGGCGGGAGAGGCCGACGGUAUUCCCGGGGUAGGGGUGAAAUCCUAUAAUCCCGGGAGGACCACCAGUGGCAAAGGCUGUCGGCUAGAACGCGCCCGACGGUGAGGGAUGAAAGCUGGGGGAGCGAACCGGAUUAGAUACCCGGAUAGU